rnacentral:rRNA from 1 species
CCUACGGGUGGCAGCAGUAGGGAAUCUUCCAGAAUGGGCGAAAGCCGGAUGGAGCAACGCCGCGUGGGUGAAGAAGGUCUUCGGAUCGUAAAACCCGGUUGUUAGAGAAGAAAGUGCGGGAGAGUAACUGUUCACGUGUCGACGGUAUCUAACCAGAAAGCAACGGCUAACUACGUGCCAGCAGCCGCGGUAAUACGUAGGGGGCAAGCGUUAGCCGGAUUUAUUGGGCGUAAAGGGAACGCAGGCGGUCUUUUAAGUCGGAUGUGAAAGCCUUCGGCUUAACCGGAGUAGUGCCUUGGAAACUGGGAGCCUUGAGUGCAGCCGAGGCGAGUGGAACUCCAUGUGUAGC